rnacentral:rRNA from 1 species
GACGGAGGGGGCUAGCGUUGUUCGGAAUGACUGGGCGUAAAGGGCGCGUAGGCGGUUUUUUAAGUGAGGCGUGAAAGCCCUGGGCUUAACCCAGGAGGUGCGUUUCAUACUGGAAGACUUGAGUACGAGAGAGGAAAGCGGAAUUCCUAGUGUAGAGGUGAAAUUCGUAGAUAUUAGGAAGAACACCAGUGGCGAAGGCGGCUCACUGGCUCGUAACUGACGCUCAUGCACGACAGCGUGGGGAUCAAACAGG